rnacentral:rRNA from 1 species
ACGCUCGACACCUACGGGAGGCAGCAGUUAGGAAUAUUGGGCAAUGGAGGGAAACUCUGACCCAGCAACGCCGCGUGAAGGAAGAAGGUUUUCGGAUUGUAAACUUCUGAUCUAGGGGAAGAAGGAAGUGACGGUACCCUAGGAGAAAGCCACGGCUAACUACGUGCCUGCAGCCGCGGUAAUCUGAGCGGCUGGCAAGGC